AGAGUCUGGAAGCUAGCAGUGUCAGAGAGUGUCCGAACCCUGCUUCCUGGACAGAGGUAUGAAGAGGCAGCACAGGUCUAUAAAGAUAUGGUACUUUGUCUCCCAAUGAACUGUCACAGCUACUCUGUGAGGUUCGCUUUUAUGAGCAUUUUGCACAUCAAGUAUCCAUCAGCAUGUUCCUGGAGCUGGGGAAAUGGGAGCUGGAGGAAGCCCUGUGCUGACGUGGAAGACAGGCCAUCCUCUGGGUGGGAUUCCUUGGCUAUUUGCAGAGCUAUUUUGAAGUUAAGUGAACUCAUACAAAUUGAUGUUUUGCUAUAAAACCUUACUUUCUGCAACAUAUAAAAUAUGUAUGUGGGAUACUACCCAGUCCCAGGAUGCCAGAAGCUAUCUCAUGUUAAGAGAUGCAUCAGGAGACUCGUGACUCCUCAUUUGCACACUGGACACUUUCCCCGAACUGGGAGAUUUCUUUAGGAAUGGAAAUCUCUCCUUCCAGUCUAACCCUUGGCUUGACACCAUGGCUUGGGGUGUUGUUUGUAGGAUCGCACGUGUUUUUAAAAGUAAAAGCAACAAUAUUUGGAUCAAAGAUUUCUAUUUCACAACAGAACUCACAGAAAAAUGUGGAUAGCCAUGUUGCUAUCUGCCAGCUGUCAAGUUGUUAGAAAAAUCUCUGCUGGAAAUUAGUUUUCGAGUGCAUUUUUAGUAGUUGUUGAUUUAAAACCAAGGAAUAAUGGAAUGAAACAGAUUUGAAGCAGGAUCUGCAUGUUCCUAAGAAUGAGAAAUAAAAAUUAUUAUGUGCUAUUUCUAUCCAGACACUUCACGUUUUUUAUCUCGUUUAAU